GGUGGAUUAGUGGCGAACGGGUGAGUAACACGUGAGCAACGUGCCCGAAACUCUGGAAUAACCACCGGAAACGGUGGCUAAUACUGGAUAUGUGCCAGGGAGGCAUCUCCUCUGGUUGGAAAGAUUUUCGGUUUCGGAUCGGCUCACGGCCUAUCAGCUUGUUGGUGGGGUAAUGGCCUACCAAGGCGACGACGGGUAGCCGGCCUGAGAGGGUGACCGGCCACACUGGGACUGAGACACGGCCCAG
rnacentral:rRNA from 1 species